UGUCCGUUUGACCCUUAUCUUUUUGUGAACUGCUCAUUACAGUGGUAACGAUCGCAUUUCCCUUUAAAAUCAUGGACAUCAAAGUACUCUCAUUGUUAUUGGCAUUAGUUUUAAGUAUGCUUGUAGUAAAGGCCGAUCUCAAACCGGUACAGUUUAAAGAAUUUAUGAAAAAGAAAGGCCCUGAAUCGACUACUGAAGUGAAUACGGCUAAUAUUAUAAGUGUUCCGUGCAAUGGCCGAAAAGUGAGGGUGAAUGGAAAGUGCCGUCCUGCGUUUAACGGAUUUUAAACUGAUCUUGAAAUCCAUGGAUGCCGAUGUGGAAUCCGCGAUAUCCAUAAGUCAGAAUGUAGCAUUUUAGUUAAUAGUGACGUAGAAGUUGUAGAAAUAAUGGUCGAUUUGAGAUCUGACAGUAACUAUAAUUGUUAGUUUCUGUAUCCUUCUCAAUUCGACUAUCAGUAUUACAUUAUUAUAAUUGUAGAACAGGCAUAACCAAUGACAGUAAUAGCUGGAAUUAAAUAUACUUAAUGUUUGAAAAUAUAAGGUAAAUUAUAUAUUUUGUAUUGUACCAUA